rnacentral:lncRNA from 1 species
CUUAAGUGCAAUGCUAUCCCCAUUAGGCGACAUAAAUGACCCCGGUAACGAACUUUGGGCCGGUGACUCCCAAGUCAGAUGACCAUAGGGCACCAGGUUAGAAACCCCUCAGGCUUAAUUGUUCGAGUCAAAUAGGCCCCGAAGACAGUCAUAAGUUCAACAAAAUAAAAGUGGGGAAAGACAAUAUGAUUAGGUGACACUAGUCCCAAAUCAAGUCAAAUGGACACAUAACCCCAAUCACAGAAGAACACCAUCCCAAGUCUCACCCAUGCGGUCAAGACUCACUCACAGGACUACAGUGUGUGCUGUGCAAAAAUGAAUGACGAGUCAUAUACUCAGAACUACACAGGCGAAGAGGACGAUAAUGGAACCUCAGACUUGUACAUAUGAUGAAAAAUAGAGUUUGAUCUUUAAUGCAAAAGCUAUUAUCGUCACAUAAAAGGCACACACAAAAAAA